rnacentral:rRNA from 1 species
UACGUAGGGCGCAAGCGUUGUCCGGAAUUACUGGGCGUAAAGGGCGCGUAGGCGGCCCGUCAAGUCCCGUGUGAAAGCCCCCGGCUCAACCGGGGAACUGCACGGGAAACUAGCAGGCUUGAGUUCGGGAGAGGGAAGCGGAAUUUCGGGUGUAGCGGUGAAAUGCGUAGAUAUCUGGAGGAACACCGGUGGCGAAGGCGGCAUCCUGGACCAAUACUGACGCUGAGGAGCGAAAGCCAGGGGAGCAAACGGG